UCCCUGGCGGUCAAGUGGUUAAAACUCUGUGCUCCCAAUGCAGGGGGCACAGGUUCAAGUCCUGAUCAGGGAA